rnacentral:lncRNA from 1 species
GGAUGUGAGGGUGAUCUGGUUGCGACAUCUGUCACCCCAUUGAUCGCCAGGGUUGAUUCGGCUGAUCUGGCUGGCUAGGCGGGUCCCUCACCGCUCCAUGUGCGUCCCUUCCGAAGCUGUGCGCUCGGUCGAAGAGGUCUAAGAGGAUGGUCGAAGACCAUCCCCAAUAGAGGAGGACCGGUCUUCAGUCAAGGGUAUAGGAGUAGCUGCUCUCCCCUGCUAGAACCUCCAAACAAGCUCUCAAGG